rnacentral:rRNA from 1 species
CAUGCAGUCGAACGAUGAACCACUUCGGUGGGGAUUAGUGGCGAACGGGUGAGUAACACGUGGGCAAUCUGCCCUGCACUCUGGGACAAGCCCUGGAAACGGGGUCUAAUACCGGAUACUGACCCUCGCAGGCAUCUGCGAGGUUCGAAAGCUCCGGCGGUGCAGGAUGAGCCCGCGGCCUAUCAGCUUGUUGGUGAGGUAAUGGCUCACCAAGGCGACGACGGGUAGCCGGCCUGAGAGGGCGACCGGCCACACUGGGACUGAGACACGGCCCAGACUCCUACGGGAGGCAGCAGUGGGGAAUAUUGCACAAUGGGCGAAAGCCUGAUGCAGCGACGCCGCGUGAGGGAUGACGGCCUUCGGGUUGUAAACCUCUUUCAGCAGGGAAGAAGCGAAAGUGACGGUACCUGCAGAAGAAGCGCCGGCUAACUACGUGCCAGCAGCCGCGGUAAUACGUAGGGCGCAAGCGUUGUCCGGAAUUAUUGGGCGUAAAGAGCUCGUAGGCGGCUUGUCGCGUCGGUUGUGAAAGCCCGGGGCUUAACCCCGGGUCUGCAGUCGAUACGGGCAGGCUAGAGUUCGGUAGGGGAGAUCGGAAUUCCUGGUGUAGCGGUGAAAUGCGCAGAUAUCACGAGGAACACCGGUGGCGAAAGCGGAUCUCUGGGCCGAUACUGACGCUGAGGAGCGAAAGCGUGGGGAGCGAACAGGAUUAGAUACCCUGGUAGUCCACGCCGUAACGGUGGGCACUAGUGUGGGCAACAUUCCACGUUGUCCGUGCCGCAGCUAACGCAUUAAGUGCCCGCCUGGGGGAGUA